GAUCCCGCGAGGGCUCGUCUGGAGGAAGCUUGCGUACAACCUUAUGGGCUGACGGACAGAAGGUUCCUGGAGAAGAAACUCAAGCUCACCGUCAACCAGGAGAAAAGCAAGGUGG
rfam:Tncultured Thiohalocapsa sp. PB-PSB1 scaffold_3759, whole genome shotgun sequence.